UCUGAAAGUCUUCUAAUCUAAUGUAGCCAUCCGAUGGGUGGACUUCAGUACGAAGGAGUAAAAUUCAACAGAAACCAGGCGGAUCAUCUCAACUCCAACUCCAACAGGGCUCCAGGGUGAGCAGCUCUACACACAGAGCAAGACAUCAGCAAUAAAGGAUUAGCAGGUGUAGCAGUUAAUAAAAGCCACUGAGUGUGACGACAACAAGGAUCUGUGA